rnacentral:rRNA from 1 species
CCUCACUGCUAUCGGGGUGGGACUAAAACAUGCAAGUCGAGCGCCUCCAAGCUAUGGUGAAGGCGCGGCAUACGGCUCAGUAACACGUGGCCAACCUACCCUUGGGACGGAGACAACCCCGGGAAACUGGGGCUAAUCCCCGAUAGGUAAGGAAUCCUGGAAUGGAUCUUUGCUGAAAGGGCGUCUAGACCAUGCUUCUUGACGUCGCCCAAGGAUGGAGCCGCGACCGAUCAGGUAGUUGGCGAGGCAACGGCUCACCAAGCCUAUAACCGGUACGGGCCGUGAGAGCGGGAGCCCGGAGAUGGGCACUGAGACAAGGGCCCAGGCCCUACGGGGCGCAGCAGUUGCGAAAACUCCACAAUGCACGAAAGUGCGAUGGGGCUACCCCGAGUGCCGUCCGCUGAGGACGGCUUUUCCACGGUGUAAGGAGCCGUGGGAAUAAGGAGAGGGCAAGACUGGUGUCAGCCGCCGCGGUAAUACCAGCUCUCCGAGUGGUGAGGACGAUUAUUGGGCUUAAAGCGUUCGUAGCCGGCUUAACAAGUCUUCCGUUAAAUCCAACGAUCUAAUCGUUGGGCCGCGGAAGAUACUGUUGGGCUAGGAGGCGGGAGAAGCCGACGGUAUUCCCGGGGUAGGGGUGAAAUCCUGUAAUCCCGGGAGGACCACCAGUGGCGAAGGCGGUCGGCUAGAACGCGCUCGACGGUGAGGGACGAAAGCUGGGGGAGCGAACCGGAUUAGAAACCCGGAUAGUCCCAGCUGUAAACGAUGCGGGCUAGGUGUUGGGGUGGCCACGAGCCACCUCAGUGCCGCAUGGAAGCAAUUAAGCCCGCCGCCUGGGGAGUACGGCCGCAAGGCUGAAACUUAAAGGAAUUGGCGGGGGAGCACCACAAGGCGUGAAGCUUGCGGUUU